rnacentral:rRNA from 1 species
UACGUAGGGGGCUAGCGUUGUCCGGAAUCAUUGGGCGUAAAGCGCGUGUAGGCGGCCCGGUAAGUCCGCUGUGAAAGUCGGGGGCUCAACCCUCGGAUGCCGGUGGAUACUGUCGGGCUUGAGUACGGAAGAGGCGAGUGGAAUUCCCGGUGUAGCGGUGGAAUGCGUAGAGAUCGGGAAGAACAUCAGUGGCGAAGGCGGCCUGCUGGGCUGUUGCUGACGCUGAGGCGCGACAGCGUGGGGAGCAAACAGG